rnacentral:tRNA from 1 species
AUUUAUAUAGUUUAAAAAAAACUUUAUUUUUUCAAAAUAAUAAUAAUUCAAUUUUAAUAAAAUUUAUAAAUU